rnacentral:lncRNA from 1 species
AGAACAUACCAUUGUAUAAACCCUUACUUCUGGGGACUAUGAGAAUGAAUUCAGUUCAAUAAUAAGUCUCUUUUUGUUUGUCUGUGUCGAUAUCAGAUACAAACUAUUUCAAAUUCAAUUUAAAAGAUUGUUGAAGUGAUUGUACACAAUCACAAGUAAGUAGUAUUGAUUCAGAAGCAACUCAUGUCUUGCUGAUCACUAUAUAUUUCUAUUUGGCCUCAAAUGAGUCAGUGCAACUUGGGAUCAACUUUUGGUCAAAUAAUUUUGGUCAAGUGGUUCCCUGGUCAUUUGAGGUAGAACAAGCCUGCAGUCCUAGCACUUGGGAGGUGGAGGCAGGAGGAUCAGGAGUUUGAGGUCAUUCUUAAUUGCAUAGCAAGUUUGAGGAGACAAACAAAAAAUCCCCACCGACACAUUAUUUCCCCUCAGAAUUCGGGGAAAGUGGUUUUCAGUCAUUGUCUACUAUUCAGGACCUGUCUGAAGAAAAACUAGUCCUUGAAAUCAAUAUAUUAGUUCCUCUUGUGUUUGGAUCAUUUUAAAUUAUACAUUACUGUUUUUCAGGGAUUCUGUCUUGUUAAAAAGUGGAAAUUGGGUUAAAAAAAUUGAUGUGAAGAGAGCUCUUAUAUCAGAAGAUCUCAGCAUAAAUCUAAUUAGCUCUGAUUAUGUUGGUCUUGAUAUUCACCAGAAAUUUACAGUCUUUUAUUUAGGACCCAGGAAGUUUGUAAAUCAAACAGUUACGGAAAGAAGCUCAGGAACAGGUCUUUCUCAUUCCGAAUGCUCAGACAGAGCUACUGCAGCAGGAUCCAGUAAAAGACGGCUACCUGCAGAAACCCUGGGAACCGAGAAUGCCAUCAUCACUGUAAAAAUAAGCACAUAUGUGGGCAUGACUGCUGUGAGUG